ensembl:ncRNA F27B10.2 ncRNA
AAAGCAAGUUUGCACUAUGAGGUCGGAGUCAUCAAAAAGGGAUAUACGCUUAAUGACGUGGCAACUUAGAGCUCACAAAUGAAAGAGUACAGGAUCCAGAGAAGGAUUGACGGGUAAACACGUGCAGGAAUGUGUCGCUAGCUCCUUCUGCUUCUUGCCCAAUAAAAUCUUUCAUUUCUUCCUCCCUU